GCCCACGUGGUGGAAUGGCAGACACACGGGACUUAAAAUCCCGUGGGAGGCAACUCCCGUGUGGGUUCGAAUCCCACCGUGGGCA
rnacentral:tRNA from 1 species